rnacentral:misc_RNA from 1 species
UCUCCGUAGGUGAACCUGCGGAGGGAUCAUUACAGAGUUCAUGCCCUACCGGGUAGAUCUCCCACCCUAUGUUAUUAUUACUUUGUUGCUUUGGCGGGCCGUUAGGCUCCGGCCCGACUACCGGCCCCGGCUGGUAAGCGCCCGCCAGAGGACCCAAAACCCUGAAUAUUAGUGUCGUCUGAGUACUAUAUAAUAGUUAAAACUUUCAACAACGGAUCUCUUGGUUCUGGCAUCGAUGAAGAAAGCAGC